rnacentral:lncRNA from 1 species
CCCCCCCCCCCCCCCCCCCCCCCCCCCCCCCCCCCCCCCCCCCCCCCCCCCCCCCCCCCCCCCCCCCCCCCCCCCCCCCCCCCCCCCCCCCCCCCGCCUGUCCCCCCCUCGGGUGUGACCCCCCGGGGCCUGGCGGGUCCGUGUGUGCCCCUCCGUGUCCCGGCCGAGGGAGGGGUCGGGGUCCCCCGUGUGUCCCCCCAGCCCCCGGCGCUCCCCCCGCACAGCCGGGUGUCACACGGGUGACACCCCCCGCACAGGAGGGGGACGCGGGGGGCGGGGCUGGCGCUGCCCGGCCGCCCCGAUGCGUGUGCUGUGUUUGUCCCUUGUCACCCUGCAUGUCACCCCCGCGUAGGAGCCCCAAUAAACCAGACGGAGACCCCCGGCUCUGUGUGUCACCCCUGGGAGCUCGGGGGAGGGACAGUGACCUCGGGUGUCACCGUGAUUCCACCUCCUGUCACCUGGGGACUGCUCGGGGCAUCCUGGUGGCCGCAGCAUUGGCAGAGACGGGGACGGAGGAGGUGGCAUCACCUUUACUGAGCCCAGCGCGUGGCGUCGUGUGACAUGUCCCCACCGUGGUGUCCCCGUGACACUGGGGUCCCGUGUGGUGGGGAAGGGGUGGCAUCACCUGUACUGGGACGGACAGGUGGUACCGUGUGUCACGUGUGCCAUGAGCCAUGCCGUGUGUCCUGGGGGCACCGGUGUCCUCGUGGUGCCAGUGCCAGCAGCAGAGGAGGUGACAUUGCCUUUACCAGCCCAUGGCACUGUGUGGCACUGUGUGACACGUCCCAGUGUCCUGCUGGCACCAGUGACCCACGUGGUGGUGGCAGGGGUGGCAUCGCCUUUCCCGAGCCUGGCAGGUGGCACAGUGUGACACCCCGCACCGCAGUGUCCCAGUGUCCCCGUGUCCCCGCGUGUCACACCGGGCGGGAGGUGCCGUUGUGGCUGAAGGGCUCGGGGUGCGCGCAGGGCCCGGGGUGCACGCAGGGCCCGGGGCUGGCGGGGGUCCAGCGCUGGAUGUGCACCUGGCUGAAGGCCGGGGGGUCCAGGGGCCGCACGAUGACGGCGGCGCGCGACGCCACCGACGGGUCCUCGUUGAAGAAGUUGAAGGGGCGCAGGAAGAAGCCGACGGCGUUGCCGGGGGUGGCCGUGUUGGGGAUGUCCUCGGCGUGGGGCACGUGCAGGAAGCCCACGGUCACCCAGGCCACCAGGUCCUGCGGGCGGGGGGGACACACCACGGGGUCAGUGGCACCGGGGACCCUCCCGCGGGAGCUGGGGAACCCCCAGAGAUGGGCCCCCCUCUGGGGGCAGAACCCCCCCCCCGUGCGCCCCGAACCCCCCCCCGUGCGCGCGGUGUCACCUGGUCCUCGAUGGUCUCGUUGUCGCGGAUGAAGCUCUCGAAGGUGACCGGGGGGUCCCAGGGGUCGUUCUGGCUGUAGAUGCUGCUGCUGCUCGGCUCGUUCUCGUGGCGCCGUGUCACGGCCAGGUCCCCCCCCCCCCCCCCCCCCCCCCCCCCCCCCCCCCCCCCCCCCCCCCCCCCCCCCCCCCCCCCCCCCCCCCCCCCCCCCCCCCCCCCCCCCCCCCCC